rnacentral:lncRNA from 1 species
UUUUUUGAAGACUGUAUCCUCUGAUAUGACAUUUGGCGGUGUAUUAAAUAAAGAAGGAAAUACUCCAUGUUCAUCCUGAUAGGUUUCUGAGGCUGCUGGAUGUGUAUGGAGAUUCUGGCUUCAUAUAUUUCCCCAAUGGGUGUCCAUUGCCAGUUCUUAUGCAUGUCAAGAAUAUAUUUGAGUAAACCAAUGUCUGCAAAUCAUAGCUUUUGUCAACUUUUGCUAGGUUCUACUGUUCUCCUAUACAUCCUUGACUCUCUAUCAACAGAUAAAAAGAAUGAGAACAAGUCAGUUGCUGUUGAGGACUUUCUUCCUGCUGGAUAUGAUACUUAAGUUACUUCAACGACCAGAAUCUUCUUAUCUGGCUGUUCUUGUCAACGUUUCACUGAGGUAGUGCGUAUGAAGUUUUCGCACUUUCCAAAAGAUCCUUUAUUAAGUGAUAGCACUUAUUGAAUGUAGCAAGGUAUAUAUGGGUACUGAUCUAUCUUCUUGUAUAUCUAGUCAUUUGUGAUCUUUAAAUUAGCUGCCGCUCUCUACUGGAAAAAUAUAAGAGAAGUUGGUAGUUGUCUUGUACAUGAAAAGAAUUCAAAUGAUAUCAUCCUACCUUUUAUCUCAGGGGCUUGGACACCCAUUAUAUCAUUGUGAUAGCUGUUAUUAUCUACUUGGCGAUAGUCCCAAGUACUACACCGAUGGCGUUAAGCUUCACCCAAACUAAAAUCUUACAACUUAUGUGACAGGUGGUUGAAAUACCCAAAGGCAGCAAAGUGAAGUAUGAGCUUGACAAAGCAAGUGGCCUUAUAAAGGUGCUAUCUUGACCAGUGAUCUUUAUUUCAAUUCUACAACUUUUCUGAAUUCAUUGAGAGUUUUCACUGUUAUGAUAAUUAUUCAAGUCAAUUGCUGAACUUGUGUCUAAAAGGUUGACCGCAUACUGUACUCAUCAGUUGUUUAUCCACACAACUAUGGUUUCAUCCCAAGAACCCUUUGUGAAGACAGUGAUCCAAUGGAUGUCCUAGUGCUGAUGCAGGUUUGCUCCGUUUACACACAAUAUACAUGCACGUACACACACACAUCUUCCUUAGGCCCAAUCUUGCAUUAGCUGUCUCAAUGUAAGCUCUCUCUUGGGUACUCUUACAUCCAUCCAUAUGUUGUAUAGGAACCUGUGUUACCUAGUACCUUUCUUCGUGCUCGUGCAAUUGGAUUGAUGCCUAUGAUUGAUCAGGUAAGGUUUUUCAAUAGAGUAAACUUUCUGCCAACUGUACUUUAGGACAUGGUGAAAAUUGCUGGAGAAAACACCAUUUGCUUAUAAUUUUUUGAAAUAGUUCUUUUUGUUUCCUUAAGUUUUAUCAAAGACCUAUUUUUAACCUUGAGUGCCCUAUAAUACUUGAUAAGAAUAUCAUUGAUCAGUUUUUCCCCGUCAACUUUGAUGGGGUUGAUAAUUUCUCAUCAUCAAAGUUGAUACAAAAACUACGAGAGGGAACAAUGAAUCCGGAGAAAAAUUUUAAUAGGCACAGACCAAAUAACUUGGUUGGGUGCGACAUUGUGGCACCAUAGUUAUAUAUCCCUUUUAUGUGAGUGCAUUACAACAUCUGUAAUGUAAUGCUAGUCCUUAAGCAAAACAUGGAAUUAUGGAUUGAUGUUAAUGUUCUGUUACAGGGUGAGAAAGAUGAUAAGAUAAUAGCAGUGUGUGCAGAUGAUCCCGAGUUUCGCCACUACACAGACAUCAAGGAGCUUCCUCCUCAUCGUCUUGCUGAAAUCCGGCGCUUUUUUGAAGACUGUAUCCUCUGAUAUGACAUUUGGCGGUGUAUUAAAUAAAGAAGGAAAUACUCCAUGUUCAUCCUGAUAGGUUUCUGAGGCUGCUGGAUGUGUAUGGAGAUUCUGGCUUCAUAUAUUUCCCCAAUGGGUGUCCAUUGCCAGUUCUUAUGCAUGUCAAGAAUAUAUUUGAGUAAACCAAUGUCUGCAAAUCAUAGCUUUUGUCAACUUUUGCUAGGUUCUACUGUUCUCCUAUACAUCCUUGACUCUCUAUCAACAGAUAAAAAGAAUGAGAACAAGUCAGAUGUUGUUGAGGACUUUCUUUCUGCUGAAGCAACUGUUGAUGCCAUCAAGUAUUCCAUGGACCUAUAUGCUCCAUUUGAUGGGAUUGUUUAUAUUCUUUGUAUUUCCAGAAAGCCUAACUAAAAAGUUCCGCCUCCAUGGUUGUGAUCACAGGGACCUGUAUGCUUCUUACAUUGUGGAAAGUUUGAGGCAGUGAUCUUGUUGAGGACUUGCUGUAGUCAAUAUUGGAAAUUUAAGAAGAGAAGCCGGUUAACUUGUUGAAGAUGGCUCUCCGAACUUCAUAUGCUUACUUUAGUUUUAAUGUGGUAUUAUGGGAUAUUUGAGAUAUAUGUAGAACUUCUAAUUUUCAUGAACUCAAAAUAGUUUUUGGAAAAGAAGCAUUGGGAAAAAAUCACAGGUGAUGUGCGCUUGAUGGUGCUGUAGAAAUGAUGCUUGCCCAUCGUCUGUUAAGAUUCCAAUGGACAAUAUUAGCUAUCUUGUUUUGAUUUGGUUUGGUUUCUGUUGCUCUCUUUCUGGCUAUUGCUAACAUCUCAAGUCAACCUCUAAGUUCUAGUCAGGUAGUAGGAACUGCUGAUACCUUUAUAAGAAACUUCCCUAGUUUAUAUGAUAUAAUACAUUAAAUUUUGCAAAACUAAUGAUCUACAACAUAUCACAAAGAAGUUAUGCAGCAGGACUUGUUCAAAGCAAUCGAAUUAAUGUUAGACUAUCGAUCUUGGAGUAGUCGGACCCUGGAAAAGAUAUGUAUUCAUCACCGAUACUACUACUUAUUAUUGAAUAUAUAAAUGCGUUAAAUAUAGAAAUGAUUUUGGCAAGAAAAUACGACUAUCGUAUUAAUAACUAGUAGUAGUCAGUUAUUAAUAAUUGGAAAUUAAAUGGACGUUUUUCCCAGCCUAUUUUGAGUUGGCACACUCAUUAAAAAUAAUAAUUAAUAAUAUAGUUAUUUUACCAUAAUAUCUUUAUUAAAUGAUGCUUACAUUCUAUCUUAAAAUUAAUUUGAAAAAAAAAAUAAUGUUAAGGAUAAAAUAAGAAAAAAAAAAUUGUCGUUCUCUUGAUAUAUCAAAAAUAACAAGUAGAGUAGAAAUCCAAAAAUUGAAGAAAUUUGUGACAAAGUAAAAGUGAAAUGUUAAUAGGCAAAUGAUAACAUGUUUUCCAAUAGUUCAUUUAUACUCCAAUUUAGUUAUCUCAUCAAUGAAAUUAAAUUAUGUUAUUCCAAUAAUAUCCUUAUUAUUAAAUGAUUAAAUAAAUUGUAUAUAUUCAAAUUUAUAUCAUCAAUGAAAUUAAGAAGAUUUUAUUAUGUUCUUCCAAUAAUAUCCUUAUCAUUAAAUGAUUAAAUAAGUUGUAUAUAUUCAAAUUUAUAUUUUUAAGACAUAAUUAAUAAAGUUAAUUUGGUAAAAUAGGCCCCUAAUAAAUAUUUUUAUUAACUAGUUUGACCGCACGUGUCUCGCACGUGUAACAUUCGAUUAUUUAAAGUUAAAUGAUUUUAUCUAUUACAGACAUUUUUAAUGAAGUAUAAAACGUUCAAAUCACUUCCCAAAGAUCCUUCGAACUUUAAUAUAAUAAAGUAAACAUAAACAUAUAUUUUAGUGUAAGUACAUAUAUAUUUUACUAUAAGUUUAAGUGAUUGAUCACUUUUGUGUUUGUCAUGUAGUGGACAAAUGCAUCAUUUUGAAUCAUAAUUGUGGUACAAUUAUUUUUUCCUAUAUUUAAAAUCUUUUCUCAUUUUUAAAGUUAAAUUUUUACAAAAUCAUUGAUUACAUUCUUAUUAUGUAAAACUUUUUAAAAAUUGGUACUUAUUAAACUUCUCUUAUCUAACAUAUUUAUAUUUAUUUUUAAAUUUUUCAAAUCUUCUUAUAAUCAAAUUUAGCUGAUUCAGAAUUCUUAAACUAAUGAAAAAAAAAGUAUUAGUUAUCAUUAAACAGAAACUACAACAAAAGAAUAUGAUAAUUGAGAUAUUAGAACAAUACGAUUAAAACAAACAUUCAUAUAAAAAUUUCUCAAAAUCCUUCCGAACACUCAUCUAGAACACAAACCUAAAAUUAAUAAAACUAUUAUUGGCCGCAUCGAAAUAGUAGCUAUAAGAAUAUUUAUGCCACCAACACACCAAAAUAUAUAUAAACAUAAAUUAAAUAAAAAUUCUCAAAUAUCAUUAAAAAGUUUUUUCUUUUCUGGAAGCUAUUAAAAAGUUACAUUGAAUAAUAGAACAAAUUAUAGAAGUACAUGGCUUGAUCCUUUUUUAAGUUGAUUGUAUUUGUUACAUCUUUGAGUAUAAUUUAAAUAUCAAAAGAAAUAAAAAGAAGUAAAGAUAAGUACACUUAGGAGUAUGUUAGAUUCAGCAUAAUAUUUCAAAUAGGAUUUUUAUAUUUUCAUAUAUUUUAGGCAAAGUCUUAAUUGUUUUCUUUAGGUUAAAAAGUUUUAUAUUAUAAAUAUAUAUAUAGAUUAUAGAUAUAAAUUAUAAAUUAUAGAUAUAGAUAGUUGUAUAAGUUUAUUAGAUUUAGGAGUAUACAUUUAAAUAGCAGCGCCCCCGAAUUGGUCCUAUCCGAUACAAAUUCAAAUUAAUCAAAUUUUAAUGCGGGUCGAACACCAAAUUAAAAAAAAAAAAAAAAGGUCUAAGACAAAAAAAAAAGAAAGAAGGAAGGCGAGUGCACUAGGUGCGACUCGGGGCUUUGGGGUUGGGUUCAACUGACUUGGCACUUUUUACCCUUUUGUGGUAUCCAUCCAUCCCGCACUCGUCACCUCAGCUAAAUUCAACACUCAUUUCUUCUACACAAAUACAUAAUCAAUCAGUCAUCAGUUAUUUAAGAGAAAUCCGCUUCUGGAAUCGGAAAGCAGCAAUAGAGGAUGAGUUCGGUGGGUAAAGCAUUCUACACGGUCGGAUUCUGGAUCCGUGAGACCGGCCAAGCCCUUGAUCGUUUGGGCUGCCGCCUCCAAGGCAACUAUUACUUCCAAGAACACCGUACGUCUUUCCCCUCUAUUCUCCAUAGUUUUAAACGAGAACCUAGGGCUUACGUAUUUCAUUAUGUCACACAUCUGUUUUUUUUUCAUUAAGCUGCAUUUGCUAUGUUGUAUUGUCUGAAAGUUUAUUUUAUUAGCUCAGUCUCUUGUUGGAUAGGGCGCUGAACUUUGGUGUUUUACACCUGCAUAAAGCUCUUAUUUAAUCACAUAAAUUUCCUCCUGAUAAAUGUCUCUCUUGUGUAGUAGGGUAGCUUUGACUUGUUUAUUUCUCUUUGGGACUAUCAACGGAUACUUUCCCCUUUUUAGUUUCAGAUAAAGAAAGUUGUUAAAUAAAGUAACAGCUGCUUGGUAAAGCUAGAAAGAAUCAAGUGAUAUUGCAUUUCGUUGGUCUUACAGUGCUCUAACUUUACAAGUGUAGUUUUCAAAGUACUUUACUGUUUGUCAGACUCGAGGAGGAGACAGUUUCGUGGUUGAGGCAUAGGAUAACAACAUUGAGAUCUUAGGUCUGAAUUCCCGCUAUGACACUUUAGUAUGAGCCUAUUUGACAGUUUUGGUAGACGAGACUAUCUGACACUUCUGCUUGUGGGCUGUAUUACGCUCUUUGAUGAAUUAGUCCGUCUGUAGUUGAAGUUUCAAUUUUUUGCUUGAAAGAAUAAGGUCGACGCAAAGUAUUGUUGAUUCAAGUUUAUCAAGAGUUACCAUAUAUCGUUGCUAAUUUGAAGGCUAUGAUUCUAAGUUCUUAUAGCAUAGUAUACUAUGACAUAAAUGAUCUAUCUUACAGUAUGUCUAUCAAUAAUCCGAGAGCUAGAUUAUAAAUUCUGAUCUCACCCAGUUCUAUAUAAUUAUGUACAAUGUUGUGACUAACAUAAGUAGCUCGGGCCAUUGUGAUAGAUUAUUACUGUAUAAGUAUUUUCAUCACGUGAGACACCGAGGCUUGAAAUCUUUGACAAGCAUUUACCAUUGUUGAUUGUGAUGAUCUUAUUUACAUUCAUAUUUGCUCACAAUCAGCUAACACCAUCUGCAGUUUUAAUUUCUGCUCUCUAUGUUUGGCUAUACUACUAGAAUUAUUUUCUCUUCUGCUUCUCUUUCCUUUGUUCUGUUAUUAUAUGGUUUUCCUCCUUAGGUCAAACCCUAUAUUUUUAUUUCACGUCUAAACUUUUUCGUUGUUGAUGUACUAUCUACAAUAUGCAGCAUGCCUUCUUGCUUUAACGUUUUUAUUCUCUACCUCCUUUUAUUUCAGUAUCGAGGCAUAGAACUUUGAUGAACCUGUUUGACAAAGUACCAGUUGUCGAUGAAGAUGCAUUUGUGGCCCCAAGUGCCUCUUUAACUGGUGAUGUUCACAUUGGUCGUAAUGCCUCUAUUUGGUAUGGGUGUGUUCUGCGAGGUAUGUUCUGCUUCUGCAUAUGAUGGUAGUAUCCAUGUUUCCUCAUUAAAAGAUGGCAGUAUCAGCGCUUAAAGAAUCUUCUUUUAGAAGUAUGCUGCUGUUAUAAUGAUUGAUUUUGAAGAACACAUUUUUUGUCAUGGUAAAAUUUUCCUGGAGACAUUUGUGGAGGGUGAGAAAGCAUUCCUUCUUGUAUCAUAAAAGCUUUGCCUUUUCUUGAAUUAUGUUAAUGGGUAGAUAUUUAGAAGACAACUACAUAAUGAACUCCUCAAGCUUUGUAGUUAAAUCAACCGUGCGUCCUAUACCAAAUCUUUAUUUAUAAAAUGAUUUUGUUGAUGGCUAGUUAGCUCAGCAAAGUAGAGAUAUUGCUUAUUUCUUGAAAUGCAGCAUUAUGCUGUUUCAUAUUUUUCAGAACUGAUAAGUUUGAUACAUAUCUUGCAGCGGUAAUUAUCUGUAACUUAUAAGACAAGGAUGAUAGACAUUGCAAAUUUUGAAUUUCAAACUUAUAAGGUCACAUGUCUUGCAGAACCUGAUAGGACUGAUGUGUGUCGUCCAGUGGUUCUUAUUUGUAAGACAAAGGAUUGUAUGAUUUAGUGUACAAUCUUUUAUGCACAUUAUAGGUAACAUAGUUGUGAAUAAUAAGAUCGAGCUUUAUAAAAGAUACGAGACUCAAUUAAUUUUAACGAAUCUGAACCCAGUAAAUCUCUUGAAUUGGAAUAUGAAGAAAAAUGUUUGGUUGGAAGAAUGCGAGAGAAAUUGGCAUUGAGGAUUGGCUCUGGGAUAUCAGGACAAGGACCCAAAAUUAGUUUACACCACCCACAAUUCAUCAUUUGUAUUUAAUCUAACACGAAAAAAUAAGUUAAAGAAAUGAUAUUUAGGCCAUUUGUGCUUGUACAAUCUAAAUAAGACUAAGAUUUUUGGGGUUGUGAUAAAACAUAGAUCUGUAUGAAAUACACUCGGUAGAAGGCUAGUGUUAGUGUGUGGGUUGUAGCAAGCAGUCAGGAGAGUUCUUGUGUAGCCGGGUUAGUAAUCAUAGGUUAGUGUACAUAGGUGUUACUAGGUGGGUGUCCUAUUUCUUAUUUCUUAGUUCCUAAUUUUCUUAUUCCGUGUUGCUCUUAUUUCCCGUAUUUCAUAUGUCUCUGAUUUUUAUUUUAUUAUUUCUUAUUAUUUAUUUCGGUUAUGUCAUCCAUCCCCUUGUUUACUAUCCUUUAUCUUGAGCCGAGAGUCUAUCGGAAACAACCACUCUACUUCUUCGGAGGUAGCGGUAAGGACUGCGUACAUCUUACCCUCACCCUCCCCAGACCCCAUGCUGUGGGAAUACACUGGGUUUGUUGUUGUUGUUGUAUGAAACUCAAAGCUGUGGACUCAUGAUAUGUUCAUAUGUAAUUUGAGAGCUCAUAGCUAUCAAGAUUCAAGAGUACUUUGUUACUCUGGCACGAGAUAAGAAUUGUAUUAAAAACUCCAUGUAUGGUACAAGUGAAGACUGACAGCUAUUGAUAAAUAAUUAAAUACAAAUUUUUCCCUAUAUAACAAUUACAAUCUGUAUAUCCUUUUUAAGUAACGGUGGUAUCAUUACAUUACAACUUACCCUACAUAACAAUUACAAUCUGUAUAUCCUUUUUAAGUAACGGUGGUAUCAUUACAUUACAACUUACAUUUAUCUUCAUUAAUCAUGAAAAAAGUGAGCUUCAUUGCAAUAUAAGACUUCUGAGAAGAAGUUAAAAAUCUUUUCUGUUGCAACAGAAACACGUUUUUCUCUGAAAGUGUGUCUAAUAAUUUCUUUUAGAAAAAUAUUUAUCUAUGAGAAGAUGUUAACGUGUAUGAAAAGGUCAAAUUGGUGAAAUAAAAGAUUGCUAUAGUACUAUUUAUUAGAUAAUUAUCUGCUUCCACUCAAUGUUAUUAUUAGAAAUAUCGAAUUAGAUUUGACCUGAUAACUUGGGAUCAUUCAAAGUUGAAACCUACUUUAGAUGCCUUAUAUAUUUUUAGGGACAAAGCACAAAAUGCAAACUUGAAUUCACUCAGGCAACUCUACUCUUGACCUACUUCACAACCACUACUCCAUGAGUCUCUUUAAAUGUGAUGUUAUCUUUAUUCUUUCGAAAGUUCUAUCUACAACUUAACCAACUAAACAUUGAGAAAAUUAUGGUUUAUACACAUACUUAUUGCAGUCUUUGAAUGAAAUGCUUUGGAGUUAUGUGUCUUGUCAAUGCAUGUUGUAAUGAUACUUGACUGAGUGAAUAUGUUAACAUGCCUACAAUAUUGAAUAUGAUUUUGUUCCUUCCAUUUUUUUUUUGGUUGUUAUUAAACUUACAUCUCACCUCCUUAUAUCAUCACUUCGUCCUUUCUGAGCUUCCUUAAGGGCAAGAAUAUCAGUUCUACGUUGGGCUCUAAUUCUGUAAAGAAGUUUGGGCUUCAAUCAAACAAUGAUUGCAUGGUGUUUUUGCUUCUUAUUUUUUUUUGUGUGUGUGUGGAGUGCGCUGGAUGUUCGUUUUCUUUAGUUUUCUUCUUCUUUCUCACAUGAAACUUUGUGCAGGUGACGUGAACAGUGUCAGCAUUGGAGCCGGAACCAAUGUCCAGGACAAUUCUCUAAUUCAUGUAGCUAAAUCAAAUAUCAGUGGAAAGGUUUUGCCUACGAUAAUUGGCAAAAAUGUUACCAUAGGUGAGAAAUAUCUGGCAAUUUAUAGCAUAAUAUAUAUCUGCCAUUAAUUUUUGAGUAAGCUUGAUUGUUGACUUUUGACAUCAAAAUAUAAGGUCAUAGCGCUGUGUUACAUGGAUGUACUGUUGAAGACGAGGCAUUUAUUGGUAUGGGUGCAACCGUGCUUGAUGGGGCAGUUGUAGAGAAAAAUGCUAUGGUUGCUGCUGGUGCCCAUGUAAGGCAGAACACAAGGAUUCCAUUUGGAGAGGUACGUGGCAGACUUAAGUCUUUCAUUUUGCCAUUAUCUGGGAUUUUGCAUCUGCAUACAGGUUCCUACAUGGGUAUUUACCAAUUGGUGAAAAAGUAAUUAUUUGUUCAUACUGAUGCUGGUUUCCGUGUUAAUCUUUAGUAAGUUGUUUAACUUCCUGAUUAUCCACUUGUGAAACUAUGUCUGUAGUAACUGCUGACGAAUAGGUGAAGAUGAGUUAGGAUGUGGACUGAUACAAUGGGAAAAAGUCCUUUCCAAGUUGUCUUGCUUUCUCGGCUGUUGAAAUAUGUAUUUAACUUUUUUGUUGCAAAUUUCAACUCGCUAACACGUGUAAUUAUGACACCAAAACACAAAGGUCUGGGGAGGAAAUCCAGCGAGGUUCUUGAGGAAACUGACUGAAGAAGAAAUAGCGUUCAUCUCAGAGUCGGCCUCAAACUAUUCUAAGUUAGCGCAGGCUCAUGCAGCUGAAAAUGCAAAAGAGUUGAAUCAGAUUGAAUUUGAGAAGGUGCUACAGAAGAAAUUAGCCCAUAAGGAUGAGUAUGACUCUAUGUUAAGUGUUGUUCGUGAAACACCUCCAGAGCCUGAUAGUAGCUUACCAAGCCAGGCACCAAAGGCCUCCUAAGUGUGGAUUCCAACUGGGUAUCCUGGGAUUUUGUGAUGUUAUUGGGUAACUUUCUUGUUUUGGGCGGAUUACAUGGAAAUGCCUGUUUUUAGUUUCCAAUAAUUAACGCCAAGCUGAAAUAUCAAAGUUUAAUACUGGUAUGCAGCUGUGUCAUUUUUCUGCUUAUCAUGUCAGCCUUUUGAAUGUUCAUGAACAACCGAAGUUACAGUAGAGCAUAUAUUUGACUGUUUAAUCAAUAUGAGAAACUUCACAGAUUUUCCUCCUCAGCCUCAAUUUGUUGAUGCUCAUUUCCUUUCAAAUAGAAACUUUAGAAGAUCACACUUACCCCCGGUAUCACACACAACGCACUGUGUAGCCAAUAUGAAAUAUCAUUAUCCGAUUACAGUCAAAGCGAAUGCCAUGUGUAGUCUUGGAGGUACAGGAUUCCCAUAAAGCAAUUCAAUAACUAUGGAUAUACAGUUAUUCAGAAAUAUGAUUAAUUGGAUGAGAUGCAGUGUCCAAUUAAGACAUUCAAAACAAAGUUUAAAAUUUAAGCGUUUUAAGAUCGUAUGGAUGUAUCCUUUUGAACUUUAUACACUUGUGGAUAUAGCUCGAGUAUUUCUCUUAAAAAUGUGAAUACAGCAAAACAUUAAAAAUUAGUUCUGGGAGGAGUCAAAUUAGUCAAGGCCCGGUUUAUAAUUUCUCUAAUGUGCUUGAAUUUCUCCUUUAACAACAUUCUCUUGUCAAUUAUUGCAUUAGUUAAAUUUUGUAUGUAGAUAGCUGAAUUGCGUAUAGCUUUGUAAAAGUAUAAUUAAGGUUGAUGUAUCCCCUUCUCUCUAUAAGUUUUUGGUUAGCAAAAUAUGACUAGGAAUUUAUGAAUGGCAUAAUUCUGCUAAAAAGGAUGUGGUCCUAUGUAAUGGUAAACUGAUAAUUGGUGAUUUAACUUUUUUGAUGGCUAACCUCGUAAUAGGUUACUUUCGAGGACAUACUAGUUUUGUCAUUUCAAAAAUCUUAACAAAGGGCAUAAUAAUUUCUCAUCUUAAUUUGAUUUUAAAUGUAUUUUGUCCCAAAAGAGACUAGGGAUCAUUAAUGUGCUCUCUUAAUUUCUUUUAUUAUAUAUUUAACAUUGUUAUUGAUUGGACAUGGCUAGCGCUAGUCUCGACUUUUUUGAUUGCCCUAUCUGUUACUGUAUCUUAGUCUACAGCCAUGAUGCCAUAGGUGAAAUUUUUGAAGUUGAAAAAGCAAUUUGAUUUGAUGUCAGAAUAAAUAUUACUACUUGGUAACAAAUACCGAAGUGAUAAUAAUAAGGAGAAUCAUAGUAGUUCAUUUGAUUGACUACAUGAACUUUCAUCUUGUUGGCGAGGAUUUGAUUUCUCUCUUGUAAUCUCUGCCCACAAUUUUUCUUUUUUUUAUUUCAAAAUAGUGAUAAAUAUGAUGAAGAGAGGAACUAAUUAAAGAGUAAAUACAGGCGAUUUGUAUAUUAUGUUGAGGACAAAGGGCUGCACGCUUGUGUUUUAUUUGCAGUUGCUGUCCAUGCAAUCAUACUAACUUCUUCAUGAGCUUAAUUAAAUGUAUAUAGUAUUAUUAUAUAUGGAGCCUUAAUCUACAAGAUUAAAUAAAUAAGUACUGCACACUGUAUCCAUACAUGAUUAAUUUUGCAGACAUUAAUGAUUGAAAUGAGUAUUUGGCUUUAGCAAGAUGUGACUUUGAAUAAAGUAAACCAACAUAUUGGACCCAAGCCACACACUCUUUAGCCUUUAGGAGCCUUUUUUUCCUUCAUAGACUCAAUUGCACAAUGCCAUAAUUCACAUUUGCCCUCCUUUUCCAAUAUAGUUUUCAAUAAGGAAUUUGCAAAAGCAUUCAUCAUUUGGCCUCUUGGCUAUUCAUAAUUUGUUGGUUGAUGCAAAGAGUAACCAAGAAGAAGAGCCUAUCUCUUCUUUUUUAGACAUAUUAAAGUAGUUAAAAUAAUGACAUGUUUUGGAUCUAAAUCUCGUCUUUCCUAUGAUACAAUUUUCUUUGAAUCUCUGAACAAAACAUAAAGAGAAAAAAGAGAAAAUCUCUCUGUAUUUAGCUAACUUUGUGCUGUUGGAGGAUGAAAUUAAUGUUAAAGUAAUCCAAAGUAGAGAUCCUUGAGUUUUAUAGAUAAUUUCGAUUGCGUAAUAUUAAUAUUAUAUAUUGAAAAUAAAAUAAAAAGAACCUUGCUAAUCUAUAACGAAAUAGUGGAAUUUACGAAUACACAAAUAGUAUCACACAACUUUUAUUUUGCGUGUUUGAUAAUCUAUAAAUCAAUCUAAAAUCUCAUCCAAUUAGUGAGCAUUUACAAUUAAGAUAUGCCACCCAAUAUAUAUUCCUAUUUAGGAUAAGAUUAAUGCCCUGGCAAAAAACACAAAAUACUCAUUUGCAAUUAUUAUGACAAUUGUGUUUACUGAUUCCAACGUUAUUUUUGAUAAGAUAAUGUGUGUGGUUUUAGUUGAAUAACAGAGUUGUCAUCAAUAAGAGCUGGCUGUCCCAUUCACCAUUAAUUCAUUAUACAGCACAUUAAUUAGUUGAUGUUAGGAGUACUAUAUAGGUUAGUGUUGGAGCUUAUUUAGUAAGGGACAAAGUGUAACCUAAUUAGAACCAUCAUUUUCCAUCAAUUUAAUUGUUGUAACGCUCAUAUUUCUACAUCAAGAACAGGUGUGAAGAAGCUAUCAAAAUUAAUGUAGUAUAUUAAUUUAAAGUACUUAACCAAGAAUUAAACCCUUUUAGGUUCGUAUAUAUCUCAUAUAUGUAGUAUAUUUUUCUCUAUUUAAAAUUAAUGUGACCCAUGUUAUCCAUCUACCAAAAUAUACUCUUCUUAAUUGUGUUGAUUUUUUUUAGUAGUUUCGCUAUUAGGAAAAAUAUUAUGAUCCACAAGAUAAUAAUUCAACAGUCAAGAGAUCACAAUUUAGAUCUCUUUCAUUUUCAACUUUUUUCGAUUAUUUAGUACUUGUCAUGAUGAACAACUUCGGAUCGUUGUAUCUCUAGUAAGCCUCCUCUUUAAGGGAAUUCAUUCUUGGUUUAUGCGAUGUAAAACACCUUCAAGUUGGUGUGUGUUAGACAUAUAAUAGAGGAGCACUAGAAGUUGAAAAGAAAUUAAUUAAUUACACUAGAAAAACAAAGAUGUAUUGUGUGUUAUUGUUGACAAAAUUGGCAAAGAUGUGGCCUACAAAUUAGAGAGGGAAUCACAAGCGCACAAGAUAUUUUUUGUAUUUUUCUUAACAAACUAAUAAAUGAACUUGUACAACUUCAAAUUGCAAUGACGAAUAUACAUUAAAUAUAACGAGUUCGAUCGUGCUUCAUUUGUACAUUGAGUCGAACUCUUUAUAUAUGUGAAAAGAAAUAAAAAUAAAUUUAUUAAAAAUGCAACUCAUUGAUUUUCAUUUCUAAAUCUGCCAUUAGUUGAAUGUACUUAUCAGUAAACAAGAUCAGACCAACAUGGAGUUGCUUCACCCUUAAUCAGAGGUCGAGGGUUCGACCCCGGAUACGGAGAAAAUUCUGUUGGAGCGUUGUCACCUUAAUAGGCCCUGCAACGCGCGAUUCGGAUUAGUCGGGCUCCAAUGCGGGCACUGAACACCGGAUGGAAAACCGAAAAAAAAAAAAACAAGAUCAGCACUAUUGGUUAAUUGUGUUCUUCAAAUCUCUUGUAUUAGUUUACAUUAUUUCAAACUACGUUUCUUCAUCAUUUUUUUUUUCUGACAUAUAAUUUUUAUAUUAAAGAAGGUUGUACAUACUCAUAUUAUAAAAAGAAGUUUGGAGGGCAGUUAUAUGAUUAGUUGUUUGAAAAUUUAAUACAUGGAAUGGGGCCAAUGAGUCCUACGUGCAAUCCACAAAGUUUGAGUUGUUUUGAGUUUUUCAGUAUCCAGAAACUCACCAAUAAGUAACCAUGACAGUUGCUUAAUUUAAAAAAAAAGAAUUCGAGAAAAAAAAAAAUAGUUUAAGUUGAACAACUCUUUAACUAGGCAGUAAUUAAUAUACUCACCGUGUUCCAUGUUGUUUAUAUAUUUUAAGGUUUUUAUAUGCCCAAUGGCCUAAGUAAUAAGAGGAGAAGAUGCAAAAUUUAGUAACAAUAGUUUCGAAAUUAUAUUACUACUAGACUAAUAGUACAAUUCAGUUAAAAUUUGUGACAUGUUGUUGGGCAUUAAGCUGUUUUUCUUUUUUGCAGGAACAGUUAGCAAGUUCAGUUGUAAUAGUAAUUUUUGUCCGAAAAUGUUUAUGCUUCCUACAUUUGUUUGGAGAGUUAAACAACUUGUUACCAAAAAAAUCAACUUCAGACCAUUUUUUUACCUAUCUAGAAUCAAUGUCUGAAAAUUGAAAUAAAAAAAAAGAAGCUAAAAAUCAGUUCACAUGUAUCUACGGAGAUAUUACCUCCAGUAUAUUGCAGCAAAUAUAGAGUACGAAGAUACUUUUUCUUUGUUUUUUCCUAGUACUAAUUUUUGUGUCUUUGACUAAAUAGACUGACAGAGAAAGAAAGAAGACAGAACAUUCAAAUUUAUUCUCCAUUGAGACAAUAUAUUUAGAGAUUUUAAUUUAUCUUUUAUUGACGAUUAAUUACGUAACUACAGUUGAGGUUGUUGAUAUAAGCAAGCUCAAACAUCCGAGAAAGCUGCCGGAGUUUUAUCCAAUGAGCGAAACUUUUGUCACCACCGCCCACUCGCUCUUCUUUCUUUUUCCCACUAACGUUAAUCCCCCCAUCACAAUAUAAUAUACACUAUUUUACUAACUAUAAAGUUUCCUCGAUAUUCAAAAUUACAAAUAUUGUCUUCUUUCUUAACAUAAGUUUGAAAAAAGCAACUCCUCCUUUCUUCUUAUAAUCCCCAUAUUACCCCUCCACCUUCUUCUUUCCCACUUCACACUGUCAACUGUUUCUUUUCUCUUUGCUUUUCAUGGAAAAUAUGUCACAUUCAUUUGCUAAAAAGAGUAAUUACCAUGGAAGUGGCUUCAUUACAACACCAAGCAAGUCGAUAUACGACGACGUUUUUGGUGGUCCACCUAAGUUCGGAGUGCCAACGUUAGCUCCUCGUUACGAGGAUUACACUGAGAUUUUCGGAGGUUUUCACAGUUCCCGAGCUUCUUCUAUUCCCGUUUUGGAUCUUCCGGUUCUUGAUGAAGACAAUGAUCGGCUUUCUCUCGAUGUCCAGAGUUGUCAGUUUGAUUACUCUGAGAUUUUCGGAGGGUUUAAUGUCCUUGAUUUUCCACUUUCUUUUGAGGAUUUGGUUCGUCAGUCUACUUCUGGCUAUGAUUCUUCUGACGAGGCCUGGUAUGAUCUUUUUCUUUUUUUCUAAAGUUCGGAGCACAAGGGUGUAUUCUAUGCCAUUUCCGCUAGAGGCUGUUUUCACAGCUUGCUUUUUCUUUUUGUAUUUGCCACCAAAAGAAAAGGAUAUAAUCCAUCCAUCACUGUCAUUUGGUUUCAAUUCCUGCAUUUUUUUUUAUUUUUUUUUUUAAUCUUUGAAACUGUGGUUAGUCUGGCGAAAGCUGCUAAAUACGUUAGGAGUACUGCAUUUUUUCGUAUUAGACUUAAGAAAUGGUUAAUUGCUCCUUUACAAAUUGAGAUAGAUAAAAGGAAGAAACUUUUGCUGCAAAGGCUGCGGGAAGUAAGAAGAAAAUUCUUCAUUUUUUCAAUUAACAUUGGUUCUCCAGGCAGCUUCAUGUUCGUGUUCUGGAAAGUGGUAACUCUAUCCACCACCACUUAGAUAAAUGGGAAAAAAUCAUCCAACUUUUCUGCGCAGCUUCAUUGACAGCUAGGCUGUUGUUGUUGUCUCUAUGCUGGCCUUAGUUUCUUUAAUUUGAGGUUGUUUGUCUUUCACGUUCUGUUGUGCUGUCCCAAACAUUUUCAUGUAAAGCUUUGAUUCUAUUGGAAUUCAACAAGUCAGGAUAGAGGUUUCUCUCCUUUCACCCUGUAGCUGAGAGUGAGAGAAUUUCUAAUUGUGAUAUAUGAAUCUAUAUGGCAAAGAGCUAAUUUCUAUAAUUAUAGGUCAUAGACACUUUUCUGAGGAUAAGUUAGUAGAGAUCGUAGAUAUCUCUUACAUGUCUAUGUCUGAACUGAAACAAACCAAAAGAAUGUAUCGACCAAAUCUCAUUUCACUUGGGUAGUUUGGGUGGUAUGUUUUUUCUCCAAUUUGCAGUAAAAAUUAGCAGGAUUAGUUUUAUCCUUUUCGGUGCUUCUAAUAUGAACAUGUGGCAAGAAAAGAAGAGAUCUUUUGUCUGUUCAAAGGGGUUAUAGUUUGGUUGAAUCAUUUGUUUAUUUUUUCUUUUCAUGAUCAAAGGAGUCCAGCUCAAAGCGAGACCCUGUCAAAUGAGUCAGAUCCUUCUGCUUUUUCUGAAAGGAGUCCGAGCUCUUCUAUUGCUGAUGUUCAUCGUUCAUCUGAUGACACCAAACAGUUCAACAUGUCAUAUCACAAGACUUUCCAAAGUAGCGAUGGAGUUGUAUCAAAUGGCAUGACACACGUUGCUCCUCUGCAUGCUGUUCCUGGAUAUGCUUACAUGGUCAAUGUAAGUCAGGCUUCUGGAAAUAUAGAAGAGGAGGAGCCAGCUGGACAGGCAACUCAUGAUCUCAACUACAGGGUGAACUUGAGUGGACCAGUUCUAGAAGACAAGCAAUUCAAAACAAGCGCAUCACGUAAUGUUAGCAGCAAUUACAUCAUGCAUGGAAGUGAUUCAAAACUUCCAGAGAAAUACAGUGAGGCUAGUUGUACUCCAGAUAAGCCAUUCUUAACUGUGUCAGAUAUCAGCUUAAGAACUAGACCAUCAGGGUUGCCACCACCAUCAAGACCACCACCUGCCAAGAAAGGAGACUUUGAUAGACUUAAUUCAAGAUUCAAAGCUUCUAACAGUUGUGCAUUUGAGCGAAAACAAGGUGACAGUGCACAACCUGACUUUGAUGUGGAAGUAUAUGCAAGUUCAUCGGCAGCGGCAUCCUCUGCAGCUAUAAAAGAUGCAAUGGAGAAGGCUCAAGCAAAGCUUAGAAGUGCAAAAGAGCUAAUGGAGAGAAAGAAGCAAGAUCUUAAAUGUUAUACAAAACUCCAUUUGGAGAAUGGUAUUUUGGAGGAAAGACCAAUCAAGACAUUUGACAAAGCUGACAUGGAACAAAGCAUAUGUGUUGGAGGAAUGGAAGAAGUCUUUAAGAACAAUGAGCUUAUUUCAGGCAAUACUGAAGACGGAGAACAUCUCAAAUUUACUGGAAAAGGUGAAGAAAGUGAGCAGGAUAAGCCUAAUGUGUCAUCUCAACAAACGUAUAAAGCUGAAGGAAAAGUUGCAUGGAGGGAAGGUGCAGAAUUUUUUGAAGUAGUUGAAACUUGCCCAUCUUGUGGGUCUCCUGAGAAAGUCAAGAAUGAAUCUAAUUUGCUGCAUAAUAUGGAAUCACAUGACUACCGACUAUCCGAAGCAGACACUGACAGAUUUGACCAUCUAGAAACUUGCAAAAAUGUUGCAGCAAAGCCGGUUCCGGACUGCAUAGAGGAAAGUGAAGAAAAAAUGGGUAAAUGGUCCUACCAAUGGACUAAUACACAUCAAGUGUCAAAAGAAGAAGAUCUUUGUGGUCAAUUGGAGCAUAAAGAGACAGUAAAAGCAGAAGAGAACUUAACAGAUGUUAGUAUGAGCGAGAAACAUGUUAAAGUCCAGCAAGAGGGAACAAGUGAGAAGCUAAGUGGCAGUUCUCAUAAAAGUGUAGAGUACAAUGGAAAUGGCCAGGAUGUGCAUGAAUGUAAAGCUACUGUGAAACUAAAUGGUGGAAGGAGAAGAUUAAAUGAUCAAGAGAGAUGUAUAAGUACUGAUCCUAGGCAUAUCGAUAUAGAGCUGAUGGCUGAGUUUGAGAUUGAAGAAUGUGAGGGAGGACUUUGGGAUGUUGUUGUUGAUGAAUCAGGAAAUGGACAGAGAGUAAAUGAGAUACUCAAGCAGGAAAGGAAGAAGAAACUUGAUGCAGUUUCUGAAACAGAAGAAGGCGCUAUUCAUUGGGAGGAGAAUUCAAAGAAACCGAAAGAGGAUUUUAAAUCAGAAAAGAAUGAUGAGAAGUCACAGGUAGCUUGCGAACAAGAGAACAAUGAGAGGGAGAAAGAGCUGGAUUUCAAGAUGGACCCGAAGAAUCAGGAUGCCAAAGGCGCUUUUGAGUGGGAGCAAGAGGACAGCCAAUUCAGAGCGGAUCUCAAGAAGAAAGAGUAUGAAGGAGAACAAAAUGUGUCUGAAGAAGUACAAGAAACUGAGGGAAGACGGAAUGGCACUUGCCAAGGAGAAGAUGGUUAUGUGGAAAUGACUGAGGUUUUGGAGCAGCAAGAUAAUAAGAGAGAAUCCCCUCUGGCCUCCAAAUUAGAAUUUGAAAACAUAUCUGACGAGGCCACUGAACUUGAAGAAACUGAGCAAACAGUUGUUUGUGAUGUUAAGUGGGACGAAUUGCGCGAACCGACCGAAGAUAGCACCCCAACUGAAAUGGUUGGAUCUGUUUUGAAGCAGAACACUGAUGCUGAAGUUCUCGAGGAUGCUACCGUGUUUGAUUGUUCUGGCCAACCAAACUUUGAGACUCUACUUGUGAACAAAAUGUCCAAGAAGCUUGAGGAAAACAUCGGAAAGCUGGAAGCAACUCAAUCUGCCCUUUCCUGCGAAGAAAAUGAGAGAGUAGAAACUGAGUUGCAAAAUUGUGAAAAAGAAUCAGGAGUUGGACUGACCAAAUUGCUGCCUAAAUAUGGAUGCAACUCUGUUUGCGAGAGACAAGAUCUCUCAGGGCAUGGAAAAGACCAAAUUAGUAGAGCAGAUGCAAUAGGGUAUACUUGUUUGAAUGAGCAUUUGCCCAAUUAUUGUGGAGCCAGAGGUAAAGCAUCGGAUGGACUGAAGAAGACAGCCUCUGAAAUAGAAAAGCAUUGUGAUCAAAGAAACGGAAAACCUCCUGGGUGUCUGACAGUGAAUAACAAGGGAUUUCAGUCCGCCAGUAACAAGGAAGUUACAGAGGAAAAGUUUACAGCUAAUCAUUCUAACCAUAGAUAUGGAACAAAUGCUGAAGGUCCAAGAGUGAAGACCAACGUUGUUCAAUCUGGAACUAAGCAGGAAGUUAUGGAAGAAAAGCUUGCAGUUCAUCAGGUUGCCAGGGAAUGGGCCACAAAUGCAAAGAAAAUUGGAGAUGCUUUGGCUGCUGUCCUAGAGGAUGUUGAAAUCCUGUCAAGUACAGACCAGAGAGCCGCAACUGAAAGUGCCCAAAAGAAAGAAAGAAAUUCAAAUAAAAUCAUUACUCCUGAGGCCCAAAGAAAGGAUGAAAGACUGAAAAAAGAAAGAGAAAUAGAGGAAGAAUAUAUGAGAAAGUUAGAAGAAGAGAGGGAGAGAGAAAGGGAAAGAGAAAAGGAUCGGAUGUCUGUGACUCGUGAAGCUCUGGAAAGGUCAUAUCUUGAAGCCCGUGGGAGAGUUGAAAGAGCUGCCAUGGAGAAAGCUGCAACUGACAUACGUCAUAGAGCUAUGGCAGAGGCUAGGGAGAGAUCUUCAGCAGAGCAGGCAGCUAAGGAGGCUAGGCUCAAGGCGGAGCGGGCUGCAGUAGAAAGAGCAACUGCAGAGGCUCGGCAACGAGCUUUUGAGAAAACAAUGGCUGAGAAGGCUACCCAGGAAUCAUGUGAACGAGUAGAAAGAUCAUCUUCUGAAAAGUUUUCUGCAUAUUCUAGGAGCACCGAAAUGAGACAGAACUCUUCUUCUGUGAGUAUCUCUUCCUUCUUAAAUGUUGAAAUGCAUGCAGGCUGCCUACUUAUUGGGGUUUGUUGACAGGACCAACAUGCAUAUCAGAGCACAGAAACGUCGAAAUUGAGAUAUUCAUAUUCUUCAGCUCAUGCUGGUAUGUUGAUGAAGCACAAAGACUUUUCCCUCUUUAUUUGGUUUAUAGUCUAGUUUUCCUCAUGUUUCCUGAUCCAUUAAUUAGACGUUCUGAAUUUCCAGUUUGUUUACUAGUAUUUCUUCUUCUUUUUUUUUUUUCUGAGAAAGGUAGUACAAGUAACUUUUAAAGAUUAAAUUUGUUUUUGUGAAGCUUGUAAUAAGAUUAAAUGCUUUUGUAGGCAUUGAAGGUGAAUCACCUCAAAGAUGUAAAGCUCGGUUAGAGAGGUAUCGCAGAACAUCGGAGCGUGCAGUAUGUGCUUCCUACCCAUCUGGUCCCUGGUAGAAGUUAAUUUUUCUUUUGUACAUAUAAACAAUUUCUUUUGUUUUUGAUUUCAGGCUAAGGCCUUAGCAGAGAAAAAUAUGCGUGACCUUCAAGCUCAGAGGGAGCAAGCAGAGAGAAAUGUAUGUAUCCAUCUCUUUGAAUAACACCAUGUAUCAUAAAUGAUCAUUCUCUUACUGGAGUAUUUCCAUGCAGAGAUUGGCUGACACUCUGGAUGCUGAAGUGAAAAGAUGGUCAAGCGGGAAAGAAGGCAAUCUACGUGCACUGCUUUCAACAUUGCAAUAUGUAUGCUUGCUAAUCUAAUGCUUUAUAUGGAUAAAUGCUUUUCUUUAGUUAAUCAAGUAUUAAAUGCUUGUUGAAAUAAUGCCAGUAUCUUAAUUCUAUACCAAAUAGAUAUUCAUCAGGAUAGCUGAAAUAAUGCUUGAUUUAAUGUAUUACAGAUUGACCUUUCCUUAGCCAUUUGACUGCUUAAGUCGAAGGUGUUUCAUUAUCAUUUAAUGGUUCUUAUCAACCAAAAAACGUUAGUGUGUCUUGAGCCAUAGAUCCUAAGCUAAAUUUAGCUGCUUAAUCUAGCCUUUACUUGGUCUCUUCCUUUAAUUACCUCUGUCAAAUAAUUGGAAUGGGUAAGUGCUACUAUCAAAACAAACAGUCCUAGCAUUUGCUGACAGGACAGUGAUACAGUUGAAAAAGAAAUGUAAAAGAAUGUCACAUCCAUAUUUUAUAACUCUUGUUUGCUUCAUGGUCAUUUUUAUGGAGGAUUUUGCUUGUCAAGUUGUUACAUAUGGGCUGUACUAUUAGUCAUAGCAGUGAAAAAGCUCUGGCUGACAUCAGAACAUGAUGGCAUGAUAUGUCAAUAAUAAAGAUUAGUUUUGAGUUCUUAAUAGUAACUUAUAGUAGCCUUUUCACGUUUGUCAUCAUAUGGUGCUUGGUCAACCUCCACAAUUUUGAAACUCAAUGUAUCUAUUCCUAAUUGCAGAUUCUUGGGCCUAAUAGCGGUUGGCAGCCAAUUCCACUAACAGAAGUUAUAACUUCUGCUGCGGUGAAGAAAGCUUAUAGGAAAGCAACUCUUUGUGUGCAUCCUGACAAAUUACAACAGCGAGGUGCUAGUAUUCAUCAGAAGUAUAUAUGCGAGAAAGUCUUUGAUCUUUUAAAGGUGUGUUUUCUGAUUUAGCUUUCUUUACUUAUCUAACUUUAUCCCGCCUGUCCAUUUUCUGUUUACCAAUGCAAGCUUCUAGUACUUUUCAGUGGUGACUGGUUUUUCUCUUAGUUUGAAUUAGCCAGCAAUGAGAAUGUUUUGUAUGGACCUAUUCAUUAUUAGUAGGACCUUUGUUACAAUUGAUCAAACAGUGUCUGGAAUGUGGCCAAUUUCUGCUUUUAACUUACAUAUAUCUUGUAUAUGAAGGUACUAGAAUGUGGUUUAUUAUAUUUCUACUUAAUGUGAAUCUAUCACUUGCACUCAAGUUCUUGCCAUGGGGCGAAGAGAGUAUAUCUGACAACAUAGGUUCUAGUUGCUACGUCAAUCACUCAACCCCAAUUCAAACUAGUUUUCCAGAUAAAUGAAUUAUCUAUAUAAAUUCCACUCUAUUCAAGUCCAUUUUAGUAGUUGUAAGAUGCCAAACAAAAACUGGUUUACAGUGUCUAGUUGGUCACAGAACAAAUUGGGUCUCAUAUAUUAAGUAGUAUUUAUUACGCUAGCGAAUUUCAUUUGAUGGCAUACCAAUCGGAAAAGUAAAAUGAACAAGAACCCUAUUAACUAAUAUGUUAAUGCCAUGAUCCAUGUGGCUUCUUCGGUUCAUUUGUCCCCCACUUCCCACUCCUUUAAGUCUUCUUUUUGUUAAUUGUCUGUUCUGUAUGAAUCUGUAGCUCUAAUCAAAACGGCCUUAUUUUGGAAAUGACGUAAAGACUGACCAUGAUCUGCGACCUUAUAGAAUUUACCUCUGCCUCCUUGCUCUAAAGUUUUUCUUCCUGCUAGCUUCACCUCCCCCUGUUCUUCCCAUGGCCUGUUCCCUUUUAUUCUUUUCUUUGAAUUCUCUUAGUGAUUGUCAUUCUUCUGUGUCAACAGGAAGCAUGGAACAGAUUCAACUCUGAGGAAAGGUAGUUGAAGACUCGUUUGCUCGGUUGAACAUAUAAUUUCAACAGUAGUGAGUAAAUUCUAUUUCUUAUAAUUUUCUCUCUGCAUGUAAGCGCAAGCUUUACAAAUCUGCCCUGAAAGAAAAUGGGCUGACAUGGCUAUUCAUUGAAAUGAAACUUUCCGUGAAAAGGCUGUAUCAUUGUGUUAUGUUGUUAUUGUCCUUGUAAUUAUAAUUAUUAUGGAUAUUAUCAUUAUUAUUUCUAGCUUCCCUCCAAUGAUUACGAAAGUGGCAACUGUUUUUGGCAAAUGGUAUGCACGAGCCUUGAAAACAGCUUUCCGUAGAAUUAAAAUUAGAUCUUGCUUUUGCAAAGCUUACAAAUGUGAAUAUUAAUAUGUCCUUGUAUUAGUAUGCAGAUCCUGCAGUGAUUAUAAAUUCUUUUCCCUGCAAAAUAUACCUAGGAUUCUUUGAUAUCCUAGCUGCCUGAUUUAAGCAAGAUGAGAAUUUCAUACAUUCGUUGACCACUUCAGUGAUUUAGUAUUGAAAAACCUCAAGCAGAUAUCAAGAACCAAGAAGUAAAAUAUCGCUAGGCAAGCUCAUUUUUUUUGUAUUGCAGUUCUAGAUUUCACCAUUAGUUAACUUUCCUGUACCAUUUACAACUGGCCCAUUCUCCUUGCCACUUGCAUAGUUUUCAGCAGAAAUGGGAAUGGUUUCUUUGUCAUGUCCUUUGUCUGCAGUGCUUCGGGUAGAAAAGGGAAGCAACUGCUUCUGUCGGCAAGUCUCAAUGGCCCCUUUAUACAUAUCCUCCAAGCUGUAUUUGAACUGAAACCCCAUAUCCAUAAGCUUCUUUGAUGAAAAAGACACUAUGGGCAAGUCCUUAUCGAUACCUUUAAACCUGUUAUUUAACCAGAUUGAGUUACCAAGCCAUCACUCAAUGAAGGAGCUAAGUAUACUUGGGAAUACAGAGGAGCGCAGAGAGGCUUACUCAGUAGGAACAUUGUACUCUGGCCAUUUUUGUCGCACCAUCUUAGCCACAUCAUAGAUGAUAGCAUGAUGAGACGAGCAAAUGAAUCUUCCCUCUGCCUUGGGGUGCUCAUACAGGAAUAUAUGAGCCUCACAAAGAUCAUCCAAAUGCACAUAUUGACCUUGUUUAAUGAUGCAGUAGUGAGCUUCAUUACCUGCAUAUGUCAAUUUUAUGAAGCCCGUGAUUACGAAAAGUUGUUUACUAAAGUAAUUAUUGGGAUUAAAGGAAGUGACUGUUUUCUGUACAUUGUGAUUACUUCGUACCAGUAAUUAGUGAAAGGGCAGUGAUUAAGCUAGGUGGGAACGUAGGUGUGAUGAAUGGACCAACAACCAGUGGUGGUAUGAUGCUAAUGAAAUCAAUGUUAUUCUUUUUAGCUUCUUCCAUUGCAGCCUUCUCUGCCAGUAUCUUGGAAACAAAAUACAUCUGCAAACGAAGGCAAGGUGAUGAAAAUACUGUUUUCUUUUAUUAACAUAGAAAAAAAAAGGGUUUUUUCCUAAAAGAAAAGAAUAGCCAAACGAACCCAUCCUGUCAUCUUCUUAGCAUAUAUGAAGUCCAAAUCGCUCCAGCUGGUCUCAUCAUAGAAGAGUUUUUGGUGCUCUUGGACAUCAAGAGUUCCAGCCGAUGAAGUGAAAACCAGCCUCUUCACUGUGUUAGCUUUAGCACAUGAUUCUAUGAUGCUUAACAUUCCCCUGACCGUUGGUUUAAUUACUUCGUUCUGUCGUGUAUAUCAAUGUCAUAGAGUUGAACACUUGUAUUUUAUCAGCCAGAAACGUAACAAGGCGAUAAGUAUAGAUGAGUUACUCGUUUACUUUUAUAGUACCUCAGGGUCCUUGGACUCGAAAUCCAUUGGGGUAGCCACAUGGAAUACUCCUUGACAGCCUUGAAUGGCUUCAUCAAAGCUUCCUUCCACGGUCAAGUCUGCUUUCCACAGCGUUAAGUUUGUAUCAGCUUCUGGCAAUUCCAACAGAUGUUUCACCUUCUUUUUGUUCUCUACAGAAAAGUUUCAUGCAUCUCUAUAUAAGGGUCAUUGCAUACAAAGAGACACUUUUAGCAAGCGCUGUCAUACACCUCUCUGGAUUCUCAUAAUUUGUAGAAGUUAAAACUCUUAAAUAAAGCAAAAGCGUACCAGGAUCACGAACAGUAGCAUGGACAUUAUAACCACGUUCAAGGAGUCUCAUGACAAGCCAAGAGCCGAUAAAUCCAGCCGCUCCAGUGACGCAAACCGUCGGCGCCACUGGAGGAGAUGGUGCAUCAACAACUGCUUGAUCUUCACUUGCCAUUUUCAAGGUAAAAGAGUAGGAAAAUUUAAUCUUCAAGUGACUGGACUUAAUUACUAGUAUAACAAUUACGAGGAGAUGAGGUAUUAUUUAUGUUUAUGUAGUAUUUUGUUUUUAUACUGCCUGCAUGUAGGUGGUGUUAGGAGUAGUAAUGUUAGAUGGUAAGCACGUGCUCUCAACGUACCCUUGAGUAACUUGGUUGGAUUAGCCAAAUAAGACUGGUUGGUGAGAAAAUGGGUUGUGGUUGUGGCCUUUUGGGCUUUGGGAGGGCUAGUGUGAACUGUCUGGAUAAUGUGGCUGUCACUUGCUUCUCUACAUAUAAUACAGAACUAAGUUGUACGGUCCUUUGAUUUCACUUUUUUAAGUCCGUAGAUUUAUUAGAAACAAUCUUUUUAUCUCACGAAAAUGGGUAAAAUUGCUAUAUAUUCUAUCUUCUUUAGACCCAAUUUAUGGGAUGAUAUUGUAUAUAUUGUUGUUGUAUAUGGAAGUUUGUUACACCUAAAGUAACAAGGUUUCAAAUCCUUCAAAUGAAGAGAAAAUUGUUUUUAUGUGUCUAUUAAUAAUUAAGACUCCUCAAUAGAAAAUGAGCAGAAUAUUUGAUAAGAAUUAUACCAAUUAGUAGUGACAAUAUUGUUAUAUUUUGGACAAUAAACCAUGUUUAUUUUUUCCAAAAAGAAUCAUAAGAUUAAUUAUAUGCUAUCUUCCAUUUUAUAUAAGGAAAACUAUAAUCUUCAUUCAGGUCCUUAAACCUAAAAGUGUAACAUAAAGAGGGGAUGACAAUAAUCUAUGUUAAAACUUUAAUUUAAUAUAAUAUCUUAUAUCAUAACUUAUAAGCUAACGAACUUUCUAUCACUUUUCCUGCAUUCUCAAAAACGGAUUGUAAAGGUUCAAACACGUUUGUCUUUUACAAAUCAAAUAAUAUAUCCAAAUUGAUUUGUUUUCAACAAAACUAAAGAUACAUAAACAAAAAUAAAAAUUUGUCAUCAUGGACAGAACCAGCCCAAAUAUUACUAGUAUUUUUCUUAAUUAAUAGCAUGACUAAUUGGAACUUGGAAGCUCCAUUCACAUUUCCCUGAUUAAUAUUGUUGUUGUUGGGCGGAUAUGGUCAAGAUUUUCAUUAAAUUAAUUAAUUUGAUUUUGCACGAGAAGUCAAAACAAGGAAUUCCAGCUCUGCUUAGCCAUAUAUAUACUUACUUUAUUUCAACACCCUUAAACAAACCACAUAGACAUAGCGCACGCAACUUUUGACAACUAAUAUUUGGAAUUAAAUACCAAGUCUCUUAGCUAGCUAGUUGCCCCAACCUAAGUACCGUAUAUAUAACAUAUCCUUUAUUUGUUUUCUUCAUCAUCAUUAAUUCAAUAUCUUCUUCACUUUAAUUUAAUCUAUUCCUUCAUUUUACUUAAGCCUAUAUUUCAAGAAAUUUGGGAGUUUUUUUACUGUUUGUAACUUGUACGUACUUAUUAAAGACAGUCAUGUUUAGAGCAAUGAGCACACGAAGAGAUUAUAGAGGAUACGGAGUAUUAACUAAGUAUGAAGAGGUGCAGGAGGAGGAGCCUUAUGCUCCAAUGAUGGGGAAGGCAAAAUUAAGCAGAAACAGAACAGUUCCAGCUGCUGCUAAAUUCUUUAGCUCUUCAUCCAAGAAGGUUACAUCCGAGGACAAUUUCCGGGCGAAUGCUCAGUUAAAGGAAGCGAAAAAAGCGAGCAAGAUUCAUCCAAUAUUCAGUCUAUUCGAAACGAAGAGGAAGAAGAAGGCAACUGCUAGGCCUGAAUUCUCGAGGUACAUUCGGUAUGUUAGAGAGGGAGGCUUUGGUGAUGUGUUGCAGACCACUUCCUCCAAACCGAACAGUAUGGCUGCAGUAAUGUGAGAUUAAACAUGCGGGGUUUUUGAAUUUUGCUUCUUUAAUUUGGAAUGUAUAAAGAUCAUCGAUAACAUUUUAUUAGUAAAUUCAUACGUGGUUGUACUGUUGUAAAAGUAUAGAAUUAAUUUGGAGGUGAUCAUGAAUGGGCAUGGUUUUUGUUAGAAACACGGGCACACAAUCAAAGAGCCCGAUGGGUAGCAACAGAAAAUACCCAAGACUAAACUUUUCCUUUCAACUUGAACCAAGAGGAGACAAGCAAAACAAAGUAAUAUGACAGCAAAUGAAUUACCACACAAAUGCGAUAGGGCAAAAAUAAAGGUAAUCACACAAGACACCAAAUUUACGUGGAAAACCCUUCGGUGUGAAGAGUAAAAAACCACGGGACCAAACCUCCACUAUAAUCACCAAAGAUUUACAAUAUUGUCCUCCAAAAUGGCCACAAAACAAGUGUCAAACAACAAGAAACAAUACAUAAACCACAACACCAAACACCAGAGAAAUAAAGGAGUGAAAGCACAAAAAACGCAGCUACUGUUCAGGAAUGAAGAACAGGAGCUACAGACAAUCAAAUCAAUCUACGUCAGUUCCUAAUCAAAGAUUGAGAUGAGAGGAACAAGCAGUCCAAAAAUCAGCUCAGUCGGACAAGAAACGAAGCGGGAAUCGCAAUUUGAAGUUGACAGUUGUGGCUGAAAUUUAUGUGCGAAAAUCAGUUUUGUUUUUCUCUCUUUGGCUAAUGAAAACUCUCUUCUUUGUGACGGUGAAUAAGACCUAAAAAGAUCAAAUAUAUAUGCCCCAUAGUAAUAUGCCUAUAGGCAAAAGUGGGUUGGUCCAAAUUGGGCUUCAUUUAUCCACGUAGGAAGGGAAAAAGACUCAAUAAACCAACAGUUUUCUUGUAUAUGGAAUGUAAUGGAUCAUGAUUUAAUUUAGGAAUGUUGGUUUGUUUACUCUUUUACGUUUCGCUUCGCUUAUGGGAUAACUGUUGAUGUAAUUGGAAAAUGUUCAUGGAAGAUCAGUAAGAAACAAAUUAUAAUUAAAGGACUUUUAGCUGAUUGUGUAAUUUAUUGCAGUACUACUUGAUACUUAUGGUUGUUUGGCAUGGAGUCUGCCCCUAAUAUAUGCGAAUAGAUUGUUAUUUUAGUUUUCAAUUUAUCGAGCCAUUCUCAAAAACACUUUCAAUAAUGACAAAUAUUUCUAACUAGAGGUAUAUACUUGUAACCGUAAAUUGCAAUGUUUGACACAUUUUCAUUUUACUUAUCUAAGGAUCUAACUAGUAAUGAUGUCAUAAGCUUUUACUAUUAAUAAUGUUUCAAAUUCUUAUCAAUGAAACUAAAAUAAUUUUUUCAAUUGAUAAAAAAGAGAAGAAGCCUUUUAAGUAGAAAAGUAAACUAUGCUUCAGUCAAUUUAGAAUACUCUCCAGAAGAAAAUGAAGAUGAAUUAUUUGAUAAGAUAUUACUAACUACUAGUGAUAUUAACAUUGAUACACUUUGGACACGUAGGCCAUGUUCAUUUUUCUUUCAUAACUUCAAUAAUAUUAUUACUUAAUAAAUUUCAAUUUAGCUUCAAUUUUUCCAUUUGAUAACUUCACUUGAAUAUACGUUUUAUUUUACAGCCUCUGUUCUUCGAAAUUAGACGCUUAACCCCUAUCAUAUAGGUGGUCUGGGUGUUUGAUUUUGAGACACUGGUGUAACUAUUAAUUAAUGUAAGUAGCUACUAUUAUACAGGAAGGCUUAAGUCUUUAUUUUCAAAUAUAAAAGUAUUCUUCUUAAACUUAAUCUGUCACAUUGUAAAGGUGGUACGAAAAUUUAAUGCAAAAAAAUAAACACUUUUAUUAUAGCAUAAUGUGAAAUAAGGGCGGGUAAUAACUAUUCUAUCGGUCUUCUUGCUUUCUCUAAAACAGAGUGUACUCAUUCUAACACAUACCUUGGCUUAGAGAGUUAAGAGUAAUCAACUAGUUUAGCCAAGUUCAACAAGAAGAAACAUAUAUAAACUAAAAUUAAAGAGUUUUUCUUUAACAUCUUAUAAUUAGCAUUUUCUGUAGACGUCUAAGUUCUAACAUUAGGUAAUUAAUUAGCUCUAACUUAUCUUAGGUAAUCGUGGAAGUAAGGUCUAUGCCCUCUCCUCUGUGCUUUUACUUUUAUUUUAUAUCUAUAGAUAUGAUAGAGGACCACCCUCACAAGAGAAAAUUUGGAUGAAUGAAUUUAUUAGUAAUUGAAAAAGAAGAUCAUAUAUAGGAUGCCUGGUUUGAAUUAGGAAAUAAUUGUAUAUCAGAUGAGUAAGUCAAACAAGUUCUGCUCAGCCAUAUAUCAUUUAUUUUCAAACCCUUACACCCACACGCGUAAGCAAGUAUAGAAAAAUAAGAAUGACCACAUAUACAUGUGUGUAUGUAAUUAGUUAAUACUCCAAUUAAAAAACUCUCUUAGCUAGCUAGUAGCCCAACCUAACUACUGGUACUAUAUAAAUUGCAUAUCCUUUAUUUGUUUCUUCAUCUCUCAAUCACUUCUUCACUCUAAUAAUCUCUUGCUCCUUUUGAGCCCAGUUCAACAAAAUUUGGGAGCUGUAUUAUUUUUCGUAACUUGUGAUUACUACUACUAAUUAAUUAAAGCCAGCCAUGUUUAGAGCAAUGAGUACAAGAAGAGACUAUAAAGGAUAUGAAGAAUUGAUAAAGGAGGAGGCACCUUCUGCCCCGUUGAUAGCAUUAGAUCAGCCAAAAUUGAGUAAAAGCAGAACAGUUCCAGCUGCUGCUAACUUCUUUAUAAGCUCUUCAUCAAAGAAGGUCACAUCGGAGGACAAUUUCCAGGCGAAUACUCAACUAAAGGAAGCGAGCAAAAUUCAUCCAAUAUUCAGUUUAUUUGAAACGAAGAGGAAGAAGAAGGCAACUGCUAGGCCUGAAUUCUCAAGGUAUAUUCAGUAUGUUAAAGAAGGAGGUUUUGGUGAUAUGUUGCAAACUACUUCCUCCAAAUCCAACAAUAUGGCUGCAGUAAUGUAAUUAAAAUUUUGAUUCUUCGGAAUAUAUGAAACAAAACAGUCGUAUGUAUUAUAUUUUUUCAGAUUCUGCAUUUGAAUGUCACAGCACGUUACAAAAUGAAAGAAAGUUCUAUAUUUCUUUUUAUAUAGCACUAUUUUUUAGUCUAUUUAAAAAAGAAUUGUACAUUUUGAUUAUGUUAGAAAUUCUUCAAUUUAAACUUUUUGCUUUUACUCCUAAAUCAUUGUGCACUUAUAAGCAUAUAUACAUAUAAAGAUACUCAACCACUAGAGUUGGCAUGGUGGUUCAGCGCCACGUCCCUUAAGCAAGAGGUUGGGGAUUCGAUCCCUGCCUCUGGCGAAUGGAGCAAACUUUAUAGUCAGUUUUUACCGCUUAGUGCGCUGACAGAAGAACAGACCCUGCCUUUGGCAAAUGGAGCAAACUCUGUGGUCAGUUUCCUACCGCUUAGUGCGCUGACAGAGGAACGAAGGUUAGUCUUACGGCUGUCGGCUAUGGAAUACCUUCAAAAACCAAAAAAAUAUAUAUAUAAAGAUACUCGAAUCUAUAUAUUUAUGCCAAAAGUGAUCGUCUUCCGUUUUUAGCGUUGGGUUGAGAAUUUUAUGAACUAAGCAGAUCGAAAUAUUGUGAUCCAAAAUAUGCAUCACAUCAUCAACGUCUUAGGUGUUUGAUUUUGUGAUAUAAAUGUGCAAUUAUUAACUUCUAUUAUGAAGGAAGCUGGUUCAAGUCUUUAUUUGAAAUAUAAUGGUUUAUCUAUGACGUAAUUAUUCAUAUAGUAAAGGUGGUAUAAUAAUUUAAUUGAUACUCUAUGAACGAAAAAACUACUCUAUUUUUUAACCAACAAAUUAUUAAAUGAUUGGUCCUUGUAGAUCGUUGAUUGAAGGGAUAGUAUAAGCCCAAAAUAUGGCGAAUGAGUAAAAAACAAGCACGUUGAUUAAUUUACACUCAUCAAGUAGUUUAUCCAAAAUAAAUCGGUUUCUUUUCAACUAGAACAAAUAUACAAAAACUAGAAGGAGCUGCCUUCUUGGAAUCUGGAAGCUCCAUGGACACUUCCCAUUGUUGUUAUUGUUUUCAGCCGUUCAAUUAUAUUAAUUAAACUGUAUUUUGCUCCAGAAGUAAAAAGCAAGCUAUUACAACCACAUGUCUCAUAUCUUUUGAAAAAAUAAGGGCCCCACAAUAUAUGUUUACACUAAAUACCGCAAAUAUAAUGUAAAGGAUUUAGUAACGCCCUUCGCUAGCUAGUUGCAUAACCUAAUUACCUAUUUAUAUAUAUAACUUAUCCUUUGUUUUCUUCAUCAUUUUAUUCAAUAUCCUCUUCACUUUUAUCUGUUCCUUCCAUUUAAGCUUUUAAUUCAAGAAAUUUGAGUGCUGUUUUACUUUUUUGGUAACUUGUACGCUAAUUAAUUAAAGCUAGCCAUGUUUAGAGCAAUGAGUACAUUAAGGGACUAUAGAGGAGAGAAAGGAGGAGGAGCCUUCUGCUCCAUUAUUAUUGACAACGUACGAGACUGAGUUGAGUAAAAGCAAAACCAUUCCAGCUCGUAAAUUCUUUCUAAGCUCUUCAUCGAUGAAGGUGGCGUCCGAGGACAAUCUGUACGUGGCUACUCAGAUGAAGGAAGCGAAGAAAGCAAGCAAGAUUCAUCCAAUAUUCAGUCUAUUCAAAACGAAGAGGAAGAAGAAGGCUACAGCUAGGCCCGAAUUCUCGAGGUACAUUCGGUAUGUAAGAGAGGGAGGCUAUGGAGAUGUGUUGCACACCACUUCCUCCAAAUCUAACGUAACGUACAGUUAAUAUUGAUGAAGUAAUGUGAGAUUAAACUUGCGGGGUUCCAGCUUUAACUUUUUGUUUUUUGGAAUGUAGUUGUUUUUUAUGUGGUUAUCCCAUAGAAGUUGGAGGGGGAUCAUGAUGAGCCUGUUGUUCUUGUCAAAGUGUGUAUAUAUAUAUAUAUACUUCAUAGACUAUGAAUCUAUGUUGGUUUGUUUGCUCUAUCUAUCCGGAUACAUAUUGGUUGCUGAUAAAAUCCCUAGAGGUGUUGGACCAAGUUCGUUGAUAUGGUUCUUAGAGGAAUGAACAAGCUUUAUUGAUUGAAAAUGAUCUAAUUCUGAUUACAAUGUUAGUGAUGCAAUUGCUACUUAUAGAGAAAACUAACCGACUCCACUAACAUCCAACUCCACUAACUUGACAGCUGUACACCAGUUGUACACCACUCUCUUUUCUAACAAACUAUAACAACCUAACUUUCUAACAAACUAUAACAACCUAACUGACUAGUCUCUUUACUCCCCCUCAAGCUGGUGACGGGAAAACAUCAAGAACGCUCAGCUUGGAAAGAAAAAAAUGAUGUUGAGCUGCUGGAAGUCCUUUAGUCAUGAGAUCAUCUAGUUGCAUGUUGGAGGGGACAUGAACUGGUUGCAGCAAACCUGAUUUGAUUCUUUCUCUGACAAAAUAACAAUCAAUUUCUAUGUGCUUAGUUCUCUCAUGAAAAAUAGCAUUAGCAGCAAUUUGUAGUGCAACUUUAUUAUCACGAAACAACUUCACAGGCAUGGUUAAGAUCACUCCAAGCUCUGCCAAUAAACCAGUCAGCCAUAUCACUUCAGCAGUUGCACCUUCCAUGCUCCUAUACUCAGCUUCUGCUGAGCUUCUGCUCACUGUAUGUUGUUUCUUAGAUUUUCAAGAAACCAAAGAAUCACCCAUCAUGACUAUAUACCCUGAAACUGACCUUCUAGUGUUGGGACAAGAUGCCCAAUCAGAAUCACAGAAGGCAGUCAUAGAUGUGAUCUCAUCUGCUUUAAGUAGAAUUCCAAGUCCAGGACUACCCUUUAGAUAUGAAUUCCAAGUCCAGGACUACCCUUCAGAUAUCUCACCACCCUUAAUGCACCAUCCAUGUGAGACUGUUUAGGUCUCUGCAUAAAUUGGCUUAAUGUUUGUACUGCAAAGCAAAUGUCAGGCCUUGUAAUAGUGAGAUAAAGUAAUUUGCCAACCAACUUUUGAUAACCAAGUAUGUCAUCUAUUUCUGGAUCAUCAGAUGGACCAACUUGGAGGUCAUACUCUACAGAAGUUAAUUUCUUAUUGACCUCUAAUGGUGUUGGAGAUGGUUUGCACCCACUCAGGCCAAUUUAUGAGAUCAGUUCCAACACAUACUUCCUUUGGUUAAGUAAGAUACCUUUGUCAGACCUGAGUACUUCAAUUCCCAAGAAGAAUCUUAACUGGCCCAAGUCUUUCACCUUGAAUGCUUGUUUAGUGUGUCUUUUACAUGCUGAAUUAGAGUAGAGUUACUCUUUGUGAUAAGCAGAUCAUCAACAUAAACCAAGACCACUACAAUAUCAUGUCCUGAUCUCUGAAUAAAUCGAGAGUGAUCAUAGUUGCUUUGUGUAUAGCCACCAGAAAAUAAUGCAUUUGUGAGCUUAAUAUUCCACUGUCUUGAAGCCUGUUUGAGUCCAUAUAAUGAUUUUUUCAGUUUGCAUACCAGUUUACUUCCUUGUCUCUGAAAGCCUUGAGGCAAUUCCAUGUAUACAUCUUCAUAAAGAUCUCCUUGUAGGAAAGCAUUAUUUACAUUCAUUUGGAAGAUGUCCCACUUCUUGGAGGCUGCCAAGCUUAUCACAACUCUAACUGUCACCAUUUUAGCAACAGGUGAGAAGGUAUCAUAAUUCAAACCUUAGUGCUGAUUGUAUCCCUUCGCAACUAAUCUGGCAUUGUAUCUUUCGAUGCUCCCAUCAGCCUUAUAUUUAAUCUUGUAUACCCAUUUAAAACCUAUAGCAUGUUUCCCUGGUGGUAGAGGGACCAGGUCCCAAGUCUGAUUUUCCUCUAGGGCUUGAAUUUCAAGCUGCAUAGCCUUAAUCCAGUAUUUAUCUGUUGCGGCUUCUUUAAAAUUUUGUGGUUCAAUUUGAGCUGAAAAGGCUUGCAGAUAGGCUUGAUAUGCUGGUGAGACAUUAACAUAAGAUAUCACAUCUGAGAUGAAAUAAAGGGUCACACUUCCAGACUUAGCACCAGAUUUAGUGGUUACAUAAUCCUUUAACCAUAUUGGCAGAUUAGCACUCCUUGUUGUCCUUCUCAAGUCUGCUGGUUAUGGAACAGGUGGAAAUGAAUGUUCCACUGGUGGCACUUCAUCAGCUUCAACUGUGGAAUGUUGCAUAUUAUCUGCAACUUCUGGCACACCAAAAGAACUAGCAAGAUCAUCAUAUACAGGGGCAUGUGAUGUAAGCAUGGGUAUUGGAGUAGGGUCAGGAUGAUAAUGAUCAUUGACAGAGUGUGGAACAUAAAAAAUAGUGGUUCCUUCAUAUGUGAUUCCCUUGAAAGGAAAGAUGUCUUCUCUGAAUACCACAUCUCUACUGACCUAACAUGUGUUCUGCUGAAGAUCAAAUAGCUUGUAUCCCUUUUGAGUCUUAGAAUAACCAAUAAAAACUGCUCUUUUGGCUCUUGGUUCAAACCUAUCUCCUUUAGGUAAAGUAGAUGCAAAACAUAAGCAACCAAAGACCCUUAAGUGAUUAUAUACUACAAGUUUCUUAUAUAAAAUUGUAUAAGGAGACUUUCCUUGCAAAAUUGGUGUAGGCAGUUUAUUUAUAAGAUAUAUUGCAGUCAUAGCACAGUCUCCCCAGAACUUGUUAGGGAUGGAACUCUGAAAUUUAAGAGCUCUAGCUACUUCAAGAAUGUGUCUAUGUUUUCUCUCCACCACCCCAUUUUUUUGGGGUGUGUAUGGACAAAAGCUUUGAUAAAUAAUGCCCAAGGAUGAAAGUAAAUCAGAACACUGAGAAUUGAAAAACUCUCUACCAUUGUUUGAUCUUAAUGUCUUCACAGUAGUACCAAACUGAUUCUUUACUUUCAACAAAAAACCUUUUAGAACAACAAUCACUUCAGACUUAUACUGAACCAAACAUGUCCACGUAUAUCUACUAUAGUCAUCAACAAUGGUAACAAAGUAAUGUUUUCUAUCAUAAGUAGGAACCUUAAAAGGACCCCAUACAUCAACAUGUAUCAACUGAAAAAUGCUAUUAGAAUGUAAGUUACUAACAGGAAACUGUAACCUUGUCUGCUUGGAUAAUGGGCAUAUCUCACAUAGUUUGUGUGCUUCUCUUCCAUUCUGAACAAUGGGAAUGCAACUUGGAAUACUGAUGGAUGGAUGGCCUAAUAUCAUAUGCCAUAUUGCAUCAUCAACUUCUUUAUGAAUUAUUGAGCCUACUACAGGAUGUCUUGAUGCAUCAUCCUUCAGCAAGUAUAAACCAUUGUUUUCUCUACCAAUCCCCAAGACCUUGCCAGAGUAAAGGUCCUGGAAAACACAAAAAUCUGGGUAAAAGCAUACUGAGCAGCAAAGAUCUUUUGUCAUCUUUGAUACUGACAACAAGUUGUACUUGAAAUCAGAAACAUAUAAAACAUUCUUAAUCCUAUGAUCUCUCAGUAUGACAGUGGUUCCUUUGUGUGUAACUUCACAUCUACCACCCGUAGGUACUUGGACCUUGUUUCUCUGACAACCCUCAAGUUUUAAGGGAUUAAACAAGAACUCUUUAUAUGGUGUGAUAUAGUGAGAUGCACCAGAAUCAAUUAUCCACUUAUGUGAAAAAACAUUGGAUAAAUGUGCAAGUAUACCUGUAUAUUAGCUUGAAAACCACCUGAGGUAUUGUUAGUGUUGUUAGUACUGUUGCUGCCUGAGGUGUUACUGAAACUUGCUGUGAUGAAUUGUUGAUAUUGUUCCUCAGAUAUGUACCUCCCUUCUCCUGAAGAAACAGGUCCAAUUUCUGCAUCCACAGCAUUACCUCGGGCAUAGGCUUUAGUGGAACUAUACUGGACCUUCUUUUUUCUUUUGAAAUCAGGUGGAUAUCCUACCACUCUAUAGCAAUCCUCUAUUAAAUGGUUUCUGUAACUACAAUGAGCACAACCUGUAGGAAAAAA